GUGAGGAAUAUUGGUCAAUGGGCGCAAGCCUGAACCAGCCAUGCCGCGUGCAGGAAGACGGUCCUAUGGAUUGUACACUGCUUUUAUUUGGGAAUAAACUCCGGUACGUGUACCGGCCUGAAGGUACCAAAUGAAUAAGCACCGGCUAACUCCGUGCCAGCAGCCGCGGUAAUACGGAGGGUGCAAGCGUUAUCCGGAAUCAUUGGGUUUAAAGGGUCCGCAGGCGGUCUUAUAAGUCAGUGGUGAAAGCCUACAGCUCAACUGUAGUACUGCCAUUGAUACUGGAGGACUUGAAGUCGAUCGAAGUCGGCGGAAUGUGACAUGUAGCGGUGAAAUGCUUAGAUAUGUCACAGAACACCGAUAGCGAAGGCAGCUCACUAGGUCUGGAUUGACGCUCAGGGACGAAAGCGUGGGGAGCAAACAGGAUUAGAAACCCUGGUAGUCC
rnacentral:rRNA from 1 species